rnacentral:rRNA from 1 species
GGGCCAGACUCCUACGGGAGGCAGCAGUGAGGAAUAUUGGUCAAUGGGCGCGAGCCUGAACCAGCCAAGUCGCGUGAGGGAAGACGGUCCUAUGGAUUGUAAACCUCUUUUGUCGGGGAGCAAAGCGAACCACGUGUGGUUCAUUGAGAGUACCCGAAGAAAAAGCAUCGGCUAACUCCGUGCCAGCAGCCGCGGUAAUACGGAGGAUGCGAGCGUUAUCCGGAUUUAUUGGGUUUAAAGGGUGCGCAGGCGGAAUGUCAAGUCAGCGGUAAAAUUUCGGGGCUCAACCCCGUCGUGCCGUUGAAACUGGCGUUCUUGAGUGAGCGAGAAGUAUGCGGAAUGCGUGGUGUAGCGGUGAAAUGCAUAGAUAUCACGCAGAACUCCGAUUGCGAAGGCAGCAUACCGGCGCUCAACUGACGCUCAUGCACGAAAGCGUGGGUAUCGAACAGGAUUAGAUACCCCCGUAC